rnacentral:rRNA from 1 species
UGAGGAAUAUUGGUCAAUGGGGGCAACCCUGAACCAGCCAAGUCGCGUGAAGGAUGAAGGUCUUAUGGAUUGUAAACUUCUUUUAUACAGGAAUAAAUUGGGGGACGUGUCCCCUUUUGCAUGUACUGUAUGAAUAAGGAUCGGCUAACUCCGUGCCAGCAGCCGCGGUAAUACGGAGGAUCCGAGCGUUAUCCGGAUUUAUUGGGUUUAAAGGGUGCGCAGGCGGGAUGUUAAGUCGGCGGUGAAAUUUUGCAGCUCAACUGUAAAAGUGCCUUCGAUACUGGCUUCCUUGAGUGUAGAUGAAGGAGGCGGAAUUUGUGGUGUAGCGGUGAAAUGCUUAGAUAUCACGAGGAACUCCGAUUGCGCAGGCAGCUUACUAAACUACAACUGACGCUCAUGCACGAAGGCGUGGGGA